AGCAGUCGCCGCGGUAAUACGUAGGUGGCAAGCGUUGUCCGGAAUUAUUGGGCGUAAAGGGCUCGCAGGCGGUUUCUUAAGUCCGAUGUGAAAGCCCCCGGCUCAACCGGGAAGGGUCAUUGGAAACUGGGAAACUUGAGUGCAGAAGAGGAGAGUGGAAUUCCACGUGUAGCGGUGAAAUGCGUAGAGAUGUGGAGGAACACCAGUGGCGAAGGCGACUCCCUGGUCUGUAACUGACGCUGAGGAGCGAAAGCGUGGGGAGCGAACAGGAUUAGAUACCCCUGUAGUCCCUGUCUCUUAUAC
rnacentral:rRNA from 1 species